rnacentral:rRNA from 1 species
UACGGAGGGUGCAAGCGUUAUCCGGAUUUAUUGGGCGUAAAGCGCUCGCAGGUGGUUCGUUGCGUCGUGCGUGAAAUCCCACGGCUCAACCGUGGAACUGCUGGGUAUACUGGUUGUCUUGAGCCAGCUAGGGGCGAGCGGAACAGACGGUGGAGCGGUGAAAUGCGUAGAUAUCGUCUGGAACGCCGAAGGUGAAAACAGCUCGCUGGGGCUGCGCUGACGCUGAGACACGAAAGCCAGGGGAGCGAACGGG